GGCAUGUGUGCAGAGGAAGGGCAUGUGAGGAUACAGCAAGAAGGUGGCCAUCUACAAUCCAAGGGAGAUGCCUCAGAAGAAACCAAUCCUGCUGAUAUCUUGAUCUUGGACUUCUACACUCCACAACUGUGAGGAAUACAUUUCUGUUGUUUAUGCUAUCCAGUCUGCGGUACUGUAUUUUGUAAUGGCGGCCCUAGCUAAUACACAUGCCAAAUACCACCUUGGCAGCUGCUCAGAGGGUCCAAACUAACACAAGUGGUACCAAGAGAGGUCCAAAAACAAAAAACAGAAACAAAAGAAAGCUAGAAAAUAAAAUGAAGUUUCAGGACUGGCUCACUCACUAUCUGGUGGGCAAAGACAAUAUUAUCGUGAGUAGUGUAGGGACAUGGAUAGUUCCCAGCACAAGGUGGUGACCAGGUGCUAAAGAUUUCAUCAGUGGUGGCCUGGGAAAACAUCCCAGUAGAGGAGAAGGAAAAGAAUAUAAUUUCAGGCAUUUGAAAUGUAUGGGGGUCAGGGAGGGCAAUGCCUACAAGGACAAUGGAGUUGGCCGGAUACUGCUAAGUUGUAUAGACACUCAGGUGGGAUAACGAAAAAGCAAAGGUCCCCCUUGAUUAAUAGCCAAGUAUGAGAGACAAGAGGACCUCUUUAGUAACUUACAAAAAGGCUUUUAUCUCUAUAGUGGAAGACCUGACACAGUUAUGCCACAAACUUGGGACAUGAUAGAGGCACAGAGCCCCAAAGACAUUUAAAUAUGUAGCCAAAGCUGGUCAGGGCCCUGGCUGAAAAAGCCUGAACACCUGAAACAAGGGAUGGGACAUCUGGAUGCACAACUGUAAGGAUCUUAGCUCUGUAGGCCCUCGUGAACUUUGAAAGCUUGCAGAGAUAGUCUACCUCUUCGUAGUAAGAACUAGUACUUCCUCCAUGCUCAAAGACACUGCAGAGCCACUUCUUCUCUACUGGCUACUAUGCUAAUAAAUGGAAUCAAAUCCUAGCAUAACUGAGCUGAAAACAUGCCUGACCUAAUAAAGGAGGAAAGAGAUCCUAUACAAAGGAGCUGUAAAAAUUAGCAUAUACAAACAAGUCAGAGGAGUUUUGAGGUUGCUCGAUCAUGGGGGCUGGAAUAUUAGACUAGAUAAUCAAGAAUUCAUUGACAGCACUUUCUUCUCGGGAUUUAACACUCUGCAUGGACUCUUACGGAGGGUGUAACAAACUCAUGGGAGGGAUGGGCGGGGGAAUCUCUUAGAAACCUAGAGAAAGUGAUGGCCAAUGCUGAGCAAAGUAGAAACGUCUCAGUCGCCCAGGCACAUGGUAGAAGAAUGAAUUAAAAGACUGGGCGAAGUGGGCAUGCUGGAAUGGAUAUGUGUGAAGCCAGAAGACCCAUCAGAGGAUUCUGUUUCACAGGAGGGCCCAGAAGAUACACCAUUCACCAAGGCCAUCAGAAAUCCUCUGGUAAGGGACACCACCACCAAGAAGUUCUCUGCGUUCCUGAGCUAACAACAGCAGUCACAGAGUUAGGACCCAUUAGUGAUUAUGGGAAAAAUAUUCCCCUUCCCCAAGAAAUAGAGGCCAGAUAGUGGCACUUAGUCACUAGAAGCCAGGAGGCCACAAUUAAAAAGACCAACAACAUUUGACAAGUGGCAGCCAAGAGGGCUUGACUCACAGGGAGUUGUGGAGAUGGAUGUAGAGCUUGGUAUCUCUAGGGGCAAAAUAGGUGGGAAUCCUAUUAACAUCUACAACCCAAAAAAGCCCAAAAUGGAGGAGCAGGAGACUGAGGGUGGUUUCAUCCAGAAAGUCAUCGUCCCUUGUUCAGUAUCCCGAUCCGAGCCACUUUUCAGAUCUGAAACUUGUUGACUUAAGAGGCGGCAGAUCCUGCUGCACUGCAGCAAAUGUAAGUGUUAUGAUUCCCCAGUCCUUUGCUAAAGAUACCUAUGGCCAUUUACUUCAGUGAUUGUACACAGUGGGAAAGAGGAAUAACCAGAAAUUUAAGAACUAUUGGACUCAGUCAACUCAGACAUCAAUAUCCUGGGACCCAAAGCAUUGUCAUAGCCUCUUGUUAGAGUGGAGGCAAAUGGGGACUGGGUAAUAAUCGGAGUUCUGACUAAAGUCUAGUUAGGGUAGGUCCAUUGUGUCUGUGAACCCACCCAGUGGUCAUUUCUUCAGUUCUUGAGUAUGUAAUUGGAGUUGAUACACUUAGCAGCUGCAGUUAUACCAACAUUUAAAUGUUUGACCUGUGUGAAGAGCUAUCAUAGUGGAAAAGGCCAAGUGGAAACACCUGAAAAUGACCUUCCAGACCUGGCUAACAUAGUAAAUUAAAAAAUAAAUGAAAAUAUCACAUACCAGGGGGCAUGGUGGAAAUUAGUGCCACCAUUAAAGACCUAAGAAAUGUGGGGAGGAUGGUCCCUAUCAUAUCUCCAUUUAAUUAGCCAGUCAGGCCCCUGCAGAAACUAGAUGGGUCCUGGAGAAUGACUCUAGACCACCAUAGCAAGUCACAGCCCCAAUAGCACCUGCUGUGCUUUAUAUAGUCUUAUUGCUAGUGCAGAUUAAUAAGGCAUCAGGACAUGACGUGUGGCCAGUGGUUUGUUGAACAAAUUAUUUUCCAUUUUGAUUAGGAAAGAUCAUGUGGGACAGAUAACCAUUUACAGUUUUGCCUCAAGGAUAGAUUAACUCUGCCCUCUGUCAUAAUAAGGUCCAAAGAAAUCUGAACCUCCUAAACAUCUCAUAGAGUAGCACACCGACCCAUUGCAUCAAUGAUAUGCCGGUCAGACUGUACAAGUGGAGUGGCUAGUAUGCUGGAGGCAUUGGUAAGACUAAUGCUUCAGAGAAUAGAAGAAAAAUGCUAUAAAGAUUCAAGGACUUGCCACUUCAGUGAGGUUUUUAGAGUGUACCACUAUAUCCUUCCAAAGUGAAAGUCUUGCAUCCCUUACCACAAAGAAGAAUGCACAGGGCUUGGUAUGUCUCUUUAGGUUCUGGAGCAACAUAUACCAUACUUAGGAAUACUGCUCCAGCCCAUUUACCAGGUGACCUUGAAGAUUUCCAGCUUUGGGGCCCAGAGCAGGUGAAAGCCUCUUCAGAAGUCCAGGCUACAGUACAGACAUCUUUGUCACUUUGGCCAUAUGUUCCAGUAAAAUCUUGUAUUGGAGGUAUCAGAGUAGGAAAAGAAGCAGUUUGGAGCUUGUGAUGGUUAAUUUUAUGUCAACUUGGCUGGGCUAUGGGGUACUCCGGUAUUUGGCCAAACAUUAUUCUGCGUGUGUCUGUGGGUGUGUUUCCAGAUGAAGUUAACAUUGGGUUGGUAGAAUGAGUAAAGCAGAUUGCCAUCCCUAAUGUAAGUGGGCCUCAUUCAAUCAAUUGAAGACCUGAAUAGAACUAAAAGAUUGAGUAGAAGGGAACUCCUGCUUGAUUGCAUAGCUAGGAUGUUGGUCUUUUCCAGCCUUUAGGCUUGGACUGAAACAUCAGCUCUUCUUGGAUCUCGAACCCGCCAACUUUCAGACUGGAAAUCAUGCCAUUGGCUUUCCUUGUUCUCAGGCCGUUGGCUUCAGACUGGGAACUACACAUCAGCUCUCCUGGGUCUCCAGCUUGAUGACUGCAGAUCUUGGGACUUCUUGGCCUCCAUACUCAUAUCCCUGGCUAAUACAGAUCUUGACACCAGCCGUGGAAUGUAGCUGUAACAAAUAACUAAAAAUGUGGAAGCUGCUUUGGAACUGAAUAAUGAGUGGAGUUGGAAAAGUUUUAAAGUGCAUGCUACAAAUAUGGACAUUAAGGACAAUGCUGGUGAGACGUCAGAUGGAAAUGAGGAAGACGUUAAUGGAAAUUGUGGGAAAAGUGACCCUUGUUAUAAAGUGGUGAAUAACUUGGCUGAACUGUGUUGUUUUGUGCAAGGUAGAAUUUGUGAGUGAUGAAAUUGGAUAUUUAGCUGAGGAGAUUUCUAAGCAAAGUAUUGAAGGAGGGGCUUGGUUCCUCCUGAUUGCUUAUAGUAAAAUGUGAAAGGAGAGAGAUGAAGAAGGAAUUGUUAAGCAAAAAGGAGCCAGAACUUGAUGACUUAGAGAUUUCUCAGCCUAUCCAUAUUGAAAAACAUGAGAAAGCAUGUUCUAAAGAAAAUACCGAUGGCACAACUUGAUUAUCAUUUGAUAAAGAGUUUAUGGGAUUAUAUGAGCAGAAACGCAGCCAAUUUGAACUGAAGGGGAUGGAGAUGGGACCAAACAAAGGAAGGCUGUUGGGCUUAUUGAAUUUGACAAGACAGAAUGAUAGAGCUAUUCAGCUGCACACAUGCACUAUUCUGCAAGAAGAGGGGAAAAUGAUGCCGACAGUGAUUAAGAGAUCAUCAGGGCCACUACACUACCUCAGUUUCAAGAGCCUUUGGUGGGGGACUACCCAACAGGACCUUGGGGGUGAUGCUGCCACCUACUGGACCUGGAGAGCAGAGCAUUGAACCAAGGAGGAUUAUUUAAAGCCUUAAAAUCUGAUGGACUUUGCCUUGCUAAAUUUUGAGCUUGCUUGGGACCAUCACCCCUUUCUCCUCCCUUUUGUAAUGAGAAUGUCUAUCCUAUUACUAUCCCACUAUUGUAUUUUGAAAGUAUUUAACUUGUCUGAUUUCACAGAUUCACAGCUGGAGAGGAAUUUUGCCUCAGGAUGAAUCAUACCUCCAGUCUCACUCUAUCUGAUUUAGAUGAUAUUCAAAUGAGACUUUAGAUGCUGGAAUAAAUUAAGAGCUUUGGAGAUUUGGGGAUGAAAUGAAAGUAUUUUGUGUGCAAUAAUGAUGUGAAUUUUAGGAGGCCACAGGUGGAAUGUUAUAGACUGAAUGUGUCCCCCUCCAAAUUCAUACAUUGAAGCCCUAAUCCCCAAUAUGAUGACAAAGAGGCACCAGAGAGCUCUCUUUCUCUGCCCUGUAAGGAUACAGUGAGAAGGUAGCUGUCUGCAAGUCAGGAAGAGAGCUUUCACCAGAUCCUGAUUAUGCUGGCAUCUUGAUCUCGGACUUCUGGCCUCUAGAACUGUGAGAAAAUAAAUUUCUGUUGUUUAAGCCA